GCGGCCUCUCCGGCCUCCGGCUCCCAUUCCAGGUCUCAGCCACACGCCGGGAGAGGAGGAGAGGGAGUGCAGCUGGGUCCUGUUCCCACCGCCCGGCAGGGUCUUUCCCUUCCACGUUAGCCAACAGCAGUGAGAGAAUGAAGAAAUUAGAAUGUGUUAUUCUAAACGAGGAUUGCCAAGCUUCCUAAACUGGAGCUCGUGUGAAGUCUGAAGGUCGAGGCAGAAGGCUCUUAAAUUGCUACCUCAGAGCUCCAGUGUUAAAAAGGUCUGGAGAGAUUCGUCUCAGUUUGAACUCAAUUGAAAUCUGACUUACUUGUCAUGAAGCUCAUGUAUUAACAUCUGGGAUGGGUGUCAGACAUAAUGGGAAAUACAAUCUACUUCAAAUCCAGUAUAAACCUUUCAAAGACACCAAAGGAAGGCAGUAAUCCCUCACUGUUAGACUAGACCAAUUAGCCUUAGAAAACAAGCUCUAGUCAUAUUUAGACAUGAAGCAUCACUUUUUCAAAAAUCUGAACAUUCUUAUCACAGCACCUGCAAAAUGUACCUUACUUUAUUCUUAAAUAGGUCAAGGGCAUGUUUAUAAGUAGACUGUACCUUAUUAACUAUUGGAUUGUUAACUUACUCUAUUUUUUCACUAUUAGGUUAUAAAUAUUACUGGAUUGUAAACAAUAGAUUGUAAAUACUUUGAGAGCAGGCCAAACUGGCAUUCUUUCUUCUUUGUAUUCCUGAAGGCCUAACAAAAAUGCUUUUCAUAUUGUUUAGUAUGUCAAUGGAUCUGUGGUUCCACACAUUUAGGAGUUGCCUCCAAAAAUAUAAAUUAAAACCCAUACUGGCCUGCCCAUGCUAUGAGACUUCUCUUUGGAACGUUUAUGUUAUGUCCAUUUAGGCUCAGAGAUGUUAAUGGACUUGCCCAAGGUCACAGGGAGAGCAAGCAUUAGAGGUCAGUCAGGAAAAAGGUUUGGCACAUGCCUGGGUCAUCUAAAAUGGUGUCAUUCACAUAGAAGACUCCAGGUCAUGCUUUCCAGAAAACUGGAGGCAGGCCUGGACAAUGCAUGGACACAUUCUGUAGCAGCCCAUUGGGUUGGAAGCAAUCUUUUCCACUGGAAGAAGAACUCAGAAAACUAGCAUCUUUAAAGAGCAUGACUUAGCCUCUCCUGAAGCUUUUCCUUCUGAAGUCUUAUCUGGGGUGAACUACAUUCACAUAAUAUUGUUGGGGGGAGAAGGGAGAGGUACCUUCUCACCCCUUCGGUGAUGUGACUCCCAGAAUCAAGACUGGUGUGAAGACCAAUUCCUUGGUCCUUUCCUAAGUGGAGGAAGUGGAAUCUCUGACUCUGAUCUCAAGACUGGGGAAUCUGGGAGUCCAGACUGAGUUUUGGACUUGAACUCAAUAGAGAAAAUACUAUAUAGGAGAACUAAACUAAACUGUGAGCCUAAUCCCCUCCCCAGAGUCUAAUACAGUGUUCCCAAAGUAUUGAGGAAAACAUUUUUUAUGUUUUGGGGUUUGUUUUUUUUUGGCUAUAUCUUUGUAGCAAACAUCUACUCAUAAAAGCUAAUCUGAUGAUUAAAUGCAACAUCCUCAUAAAAUUGGGGGAACAUAAUUGGAGGGGAGCUUGAGCUAAUAAUGAUAGAGAAGAAAGACUCUCCAAACCCCUGAGGAAACUGGAAAACUCUUAGAGAGUGGAGUCAGAGUCAAAUCCAUGUUAGACAUAAAAAUUGCUUUAUAUAUGUUUGUUGAAAUUGUUUAGAGAACAAGGCACUUGAGUGGAACUUAGAUAGUUGGUGCUAAACAAGGCAGGGUAGUGUAAAUUGGCUGUGGACUGGCCUGCCCUUAUCUUUUGAGCUGUAGACAUCUCCAAAAUCUGUACACUAUUAUUAAGAUAAUGGUAAACAAGCACUUAAUUGAUUUCCUCAAUACCCAGUGUACCUCUUAUAACCAGCAACCAAAUAAACGGGGCUGAUUGUGAAAUACAAACAGAAAUCAAUGUGAAAGCAGUUCCUAUGAUGUUGACAGUAUCAUUCCUUUGAAAAUUGGCACUGUCUUUCAUGUCAACUUUUGGUAAGGAAGCUUUGCAACCAAGUGUGACUGAUUUUUAAGGAGUUCUCUAUGAAAAGGUCAAAAUAUAAGGAUGGUUACACAAUUCAAAAAGCUAUAAAGUGAUAAAAACAAUUUGAAAUAUGAAGUAUUCUAUACUACUGAACCAACCCAGAUUAUAUGUAGCAUGAGAUCAACAAAACGACACGUUGAAGAAUAAUUAUAAAGAAAAAUUUCGAGCCAUUAGUGGAAAGUCGGCCUGGGUUUAUAAAAGUAAACUGAAUACUGUACUCCAUUAAUAAUGAAAAAGAAGAUAAAGUCACACUAGCUUCUGCAGUGUAAGAAGAACUAGUAAGGUCACACAGAUAAAACUACAAAACACGUACUUAUUAUAGUAUUCUACUUGGGGAAAAAAAAGAUUAAGUAGAGGAAAUAACAGUGUGAAGAAAAUGGCAAAAAUUUUAAAAAUAACCUGCUGCAUUUAAAGUAGGAUUAGAAGAAUGAAAGACCAAAAUGUAUUCCAAUCCAAUCCAACAAAUAUUAAAUUCAGAAUAUAUAAAAGGCACUGUACUGAAAAGAUUUAAUAUUUUUAAUUUUAAAAUAUUUUUACUAUGUACCUGGUACAUAGUAAGCACUUAAUCAAUGUGUGUUGCCUUGCUGUUGCCUUAAACAAUGCAUAUAAGAAAACAUUGGUGAACUGAUACCAUCUGGGACAAUUUGGAAUCAUGACCUAUAAAUGUAAUUACCGAAGAAUUAUUUCAUAAGCAAAUUAAUAGUUAAAAUCUUGAAAAAUAGUUGUCUUAAGUAAACAUCAACAACAAUUAGGUUCAUAAAUUAGAAGCAAAUUGAUUAAUAAAGAAUAACUUUUCAACCAGGUAACCAACAAGGCAGAUUGUAUUUUAUCCUUGCUUACACCCUCACAGUGCACAUAUUAGACACUCAGACCCCCUUGGGGAAGCCAGAUGAGAACAGGGGAGAAGGAGAAGCCUUUUUCCUUUCCCAUUCUGAUCCCCUGACCUAAAAAGAUGAUGACAACUCUUUUCCUUCCAGUCAUUUGUCUAAUCCUCUUGUCCUCUUCAGGCAGUUACUAACUCUCAUUCCUCACCUGUCAGAGAAAACCCCAGAGUUUAAGCUCUUUUCAAUUUCCUUCUGAUGGUGGAUAGUGUAGCCCUUCUAGAACUCCAUCUCUUUGCAGAGUAAAAAUGGCUGCUUACAACAUCUGCAUUAGCUGGGAGUUACCAUUUACUAUCAUUUCAGUAAGAAAGAAGGCCACUAGACCUUACCAUCUUCCCUGCUACUGCUAUGUCCUAAGAUCCUCUGACCUUACCAUCUUUCUUGUAGCUAUGCCUCCAAAUAAACCUAUGGGAAGUGUUACCUGAUCUGCCAUUGUGCCCCUGAGACUUGCCAUUAUCUCUGCUUCUGAUAUACAGGCUGUCCUAAAAGUCUUAAUGCUGUUUAAACUUUAAGAUUUUUGGAACAUCCUGUAUGUGUUGUCCCCUUCAAUUAGAAUGUCAACUUUUUAAGAGUAGGGAUUGUCUCAAUUUUUUUUCCGUGUAUGCUUAGCAUGGUGUUUAUGCUUUUCUAUCCAUUCAUACAUUAGAACCUGACUUUUUAAAAAUAUGAUCUAUGAAUAUUCAAAAAUUGUUUUCCAAACAAUUUUUCAUGGACUCAUUUGGAUCUCCUUUGUGGACACAGUCAGUUCAAAAGGGUAAGAAAGAAUUACAGAGUUAAGAAAAUGGUCACAAGUUCAUAAACUAAAAUGGCCUUACUUAGAAACAUUCAUUGAAAAAUAUUCAGAAACAUUCACUAUUAAUUCGGCAAAAGUCAUUGUCACUUUUAGUCUCAACAGAAAUAACCAAGAAUGAUGGCUAUCAGAGGCUAGAGUGGUUGGAUUGAACAGGUCCCCAGAGACAGCAAUAACCAGAGUGAAGCAACUGGAACUUUGUCCCUGGAUGUCAACAUAGGGGUUUUUUGCUUCCUUUUCCAUGGCAGAUUUCCAGACUGCCAAUCUUUGCCUUUAUGGUUCAUUCUAGGCUUAAAUAAUGUUUGAUUAUUCAUCUGGCUCUGGUAUGCACUCCAGAAAUUUAGCCUUCAUAGUAUCCCUUUUCAUGGGUCACUUAUCCAUAUCUAACACCCCUGUGACCAUCAUCCUCUUGAGGGAAGGGUCGAAAGUAGCAGAUUGUCUCCCAUAGAGCCUUACCAAGCUGGAGGAACCAAUCUAUAUAUUUCAGAGAGAUCAUGGCAUCAGAAGAGAUGUUAGAGAUGUCCUGACUGGCAUGUAAUACUUAGACCUUUCCUGAUGUGAUUUCCCUAGGGGGAUAAUUAUGAUUUUAAAAGAUCUUAUCUGAUAUUGUAGUUACAAUGAUAGAACAGGACUCCAAAAGGGAGUCAUUUAGGCUAAAUGAUCCUAAAAGCAAUAACUUACAGUUUGUUACUUUUACACUGCCCCUGGCCCAUUCUGAUCCUGUGUCUAACAGUUAAUAAUUGUAGCUUCUGCUUGGAUGACUCCAAACCCACUAUAAUGACUUUUGAACCUCUCCUUUCCUUCUACCUCAGAUAACUAAAUCAAACCCUCACCCAAUUGGUCCCUAUAAGGAAACUUCUCCUACCUGUGCAUGGUUCAUAUAAAUAACCUUGAGCAUUUCCAUACCACAUUUGGAUUUGAUUAGGAAUGCUAUCCCCCUCAUCUGGCAUUAAUUAUUAAGUCCAUGUUUUAGAGAAAAAAAUUCUGAGGGUUCUCCCACCAUGUCCUGGUCUCCAUGCCUCUUGAGUUUUGUUUCUUUGCAUCCAUGCAGGUGGGCCUCUCUCUAGCUGUAUUGCUCUAUCUAUCUAUCUAUUGUCAACCUGGAAUCUGGAGACCCCAAUUCUGCUCCUGUCCCCUGAGAAUUCACCCUAAUGGAAGUCCCAGACUUAGCCAUGUCAGACUGAAUAAUAGACCUUAAAGUACUUAAUGAUCCCAAGUUAAAAAAGAAAACAAAACUGACUGAUAGAGCAAGUAAUAAAGAGAGAGAGAGAGAGAAAAAGGAAAGAGAGUUCACAGAAAUUUUUUGAAGGUUUUCUCACCAUCCCUUCGUGGUCACCAUAAACUGUGGCAUUUAAAAGAUUAGAUGCCAUAAACUGUAAGAGUUAAAAUAGUUGAGGUUGUAAACUGUAGUGAUUAAAAUAGUGGAAGAUACAAAUUAUAGUAGAUAUAAGAGUGGGUGAGUAAAUUGUGACCACUGGAAAUAUGUUUUCACUACAGUGUUUUGUUUUUAAAUCAAAUAUAAGGUGGUCGCCAGGGAAAUAUUCCCAAUUAUGAAUAUACCCAAGUCAAAUGGGUUUAUAGAGAUUUUUUAAUUAAUAAUACAAUGAGGAAUCAAAGAAAGAGAGAGAGAGAGAAAAGGGAAAUAAAUGAGAAAAGUAUAGGCCAGCCCAGGAAGCCCUGGCCAACCCAGGCCUAAGCCCUAAAAAAAAGCUCAGUCAGUCCUAAUCACUCACCAUAAGAUCUGUUCAAGCGAGGAUUCAGGGGGACAGAGUCUCCCCAGAGGGAGUUCCAGCCAGAGUCAGCCUCCCUUGAAAGACCUCUUUAGAGAUUGUCUCUCAAGAGCCUGUAUACUCAAGAGAUUUUCUCAACAGUCUGUCCUUUUUCUUAUAUAGCGGGUUUUCUCCUAUGUUACCUCCCCUAAGUUCUUCCAUCUACCAAUCACAGUAGAUGUUUUCCAAAGGACAGCCCAUUCUGAAUUCACACCUGAGUAGAUUAAUCCUUUUAGUAAUCCACACCUGAGUAGGUUAGAAUCUCUGUGUAAGUUUUUUCCUCUUUGCUCCUUUUAAGUUCACAAGUUGCCUGACCUUUAUAGGUACUUAGCACCCCUUUGUAAUUAAUUCUAAAAAUAGGCAUGGCUUAAGUAUGGGUGUAAGUAUUUUUCAUUGUUCAGCAAGGAGUUUUCUCCCCUAAAGCAGUCUUAAGUAGGGGUGGAGUAAAGGUCUUCCCAUUUCUGAUCUAAGUAGAGUUCUCACAUUUUAGAUCUAAGUAGCUUCAUUGUUUAAAAUGGGGAAUGGUCUUAACCAAAUGUUCUAAGAUAGAGUCUGAGAAUCUUUUAACAUUCACAAGUCUGAGAAAUUUCAAGAUUCACAACUAGUAGAUCUAAAUCAAAUGUUAAGUAACCUUUUGUCCUGGUAGUUUCUCCCAUUGUAUCAAAGUCCUCUCCCACUUUUAGCCUAGCUCUUGAUUAGAUGUUCCCUUUGUUAUAGCUAAUAAAUAGUAUAGCCAAGCUGUUAUGGGUGAGGAAUAUUGGUGGAGGUCGAUAAAGUUGCAGAGAACUGUUUGGUAGACCAGCCUCCUUAUUUAUUUUGGAUGAGAGGUAGGGACAGGAAAUAAGAGGUAAGAAAUAAGAAAAUAUAUCUAAAAAUCCUUAUACUAAAUCUUAAAACCCACUCCUAUACUAAAAAUCUAUAAAGAACCCUAUUUCUAACUGCCUUUCUUGGCAGGAUCUUCUUGUCUGCAAAGCAGACCUGAAUCUGACUUAUACUGUCUAACUUACAUUAAAUUUCAUUAUCUAUCUUAAACUAACUAAUUGAUGAACCUCACAUUGAUAAUGAACUCCUUUAAGUAAUAUAUGAAAUCAAACUGUCAGAUAUAACUGUCAGAAUCUCUUGACAAAGAAACACCAAUGUGGGCCCUGCUCCCAAGUCAGAGAGAGUGGACAGAUUCCCUCUGACAGUUCCUUCUCCCUCCAGGAGAAAAGGUCUCAAGAAUUAGACUUUAACUCAGAUUUGUAGGUGUAUCCCAAACUCUUAAAAGUAACUGUCUCAAAAUAACUAUCACAUCUUCUGUCUGAGCAUAUUGCCCCAUAACACUGCUCCCAAGGAAGUCAGAGAAAUUGGAGUGUUAACUACUUUUUCCUUCUUUAUAGAAAGUCUCUUAAAGUAUAGGAGGGCAAAUUUCUUUGCUCUGACUUAGAGAGGAGAUUUUACAAAACUCUCAACCUGUCAGAUACUGUCUCCUAAAUAUAAAGUGGGAGAUUAUAAGAUUUGUAUUAACACCUUUUAGUGUCUACUAUAAGAAGACCACUCCCUGAUUCCCCUGUCUGGCUAUGAUUUCUUUCCUAAACCUGUUUGUAUCCUUUCAGUGUAGAGGUCAGUGACCUCUCAUUUCCUUAUAGUCUUGGUAAUGUCAAUAGAUCAUACUUCCCUGUCUUUAGUUCCCCAAAUGGUAUAUUAAUUCCCCAAAUUCUAUUUUUAUUUGGAGAAUCAUCUAGUGAGGUGAUCCUCUCAGAGAUACUGUUGCCAGAGUGCCAGAGUCUUUGGCUCUGUGUAGUUUUUUGGAGUUUGACUCUGUGUAGCAGCCAAAUAUUGAACACUAUCUCUUUUCCUGAUUAAAGACUUGGCUUUUCUAACUA